rnacentral:rRNA from 1 species
GAUGAACGCUGGCGGCGUGCCUAACACAUGCAAGUCGAGCGAACAGACGGAGAGCUUGCUCCUCUUACGUUAGCGGCGGGCGGGUGAGUAACACGUGGAUAACCUACCUGUAAGACUGAUAUAACUACGAGAAACCGGAGCUAACACCGGAUGAUAUCGUGAACCGCGUGGUUCGAUAGUGAAAGACGGUUUUGCUGUCUCUUAUUGAUGUAUCCGCGCCGCAUUGGCUAGUUGCUAAGGUAACGGCUUACCAAGGCAACGAUGCGUAGCAGACCGGAGAGAGUGAUCGCCCACACUGGAACUGAGACACGGUCAAGACUCCUACGGGAGGCAGCAGUAGGGAAUCUUCCGCAAUGGGCGAAAGCCUGACGGAGCAACGCCGCGUGAGUGAUGAAGGUCUUCGGAUCGUAAAACUCUGUUAUUAGGGAAGAACAAAUGUGUAAGUAACUAUGCACGUCUUGACGGUACCUAAUCAGAAAGCCACGGCUAACUACGUG